rnacentral:rRNA from 1 species
GACGAACGCUAGCGGUGUGCCUAAUACAUGCAAGUCGAACGGUUCUUUCUUUGAUGAAGCUUCGGCAGAUUCGUUGAAAGAAUAGUGGCGAACGGGUGAGUAAUGCAUGAGCAAUCUGCCCUAAAGACCGGGAUAAGCUUUCGAAAGGAAGUCUAAUACCGGAUAAUAAAAUCAGAUCGCAUGAUUUGAUUUUCAAAGGUAGCUUUUUAAGCCUCUGCUUUUGGAUGAGCUCAUGUCCUAUCAGCUAGUUGGUGAGGUAAAGGCUUACCAAGGCCAAGACGGGUAGCCGGUCUGAGAGGACGGUCGGCCACACUGGGACUGAGAUACGGCCCAGACUCCUACGGGAGGCAGCAGUAGGGAAUCUUGCGCAAUGGGCGAAAGCCUGACGCAGCGACACCGCGUGGAGGAUGAAGGCUUUCGGGUUGUAAACUCCUGUCAGAGGAGAAGAAAUCCCGAGUAAUCGGGAUUGACGGUAUCCUCAGAGGAAGCCCCGGCUAACUACGUGCCAGCAGCCGCGGUAAUACGUAGGGGGCGAACGUUGCUCGGAAUCAUUGGGCGUAAAGGGUGUGUAGGCGGCUGAGCAAGUCACAGAUGAAAUCCCAAGGCUCAACCUUGGAAUUGUCUUUGAAACUGUUCAGCUUGAGGAUAGCUGAGGGGAACGGAAUUCCCGGUGGAGCGGUGAAAUGCGUAGAUAUCGGGAGGAACACCAGAGGCGAAGGCGGUUCUCUAAGCUAUUCCUGACACUGAGACACGAAAGCUAGGGGAGCAAACGGGAUUAGAUACCCCGGUAGUCCUAGCCGUAAACGAUGGGCACUAGAUGUUUCCGCUUUAUUGCGGGAGUGUCGAAGCUAACGCAUUAAGUGCCCCGCCUGGGGAGUACGGUCACAAGGCUGAAACUCAAAGGAAUUGACGG